rnacentral:ncRNA from 1 species
UAAUGCAUGCUUAAUAACUAUUGAAGUGAAACUGACACCUUUAAGGCGAGCAGUUCGAAUGUAUUGUGAUGUCAUAACUUCUGCCAUCGACGCUCUAGUCAUUCGUGCAAUGUAACCCAUACCGUAAAGAGCAAUUGUCAUAACAGGUAAAGUGAAAUU